AAUUAUACCGUGAAACUGCGAAUGGCUCAUUAAAUCAGUUAUCGUUUAUUUGAUAGUACCUUACUACUUGGAUAACCGUGGUAAUUCUAGAGCUAAUACAUGCUAAAAACCCCAACUUCGGGAGGGGUGUAUUUAUUAGAUAAAAAACCAACGCCCUUCGGGGCUUCUUGGUGAUUCAUGAUAACUUUACGGAUCGCAUGGCCUUGCGCCGGCGACGGUUCAUUCAAAUUUCUGCCCUAUCAACUUUCGAUGGUAAGGUAUUGGCUUACCAUGGUUUCAACGGGUAACGGGGAAUUAGGGUUCGAUUCCGGAGAGGGAGCCUGAGAAACGGCUACCACAUCCAAGGAAGGCAGCAGGCGCGCAAAUUACCCAAUCCCGACACGGGGAGGUAGUGACAAUAAAUACUGAUACAGGGCUCUUUUGGGUCUUGUAAUUGGAAUGAGUACAAUUUAAACCUCUUAACGAGGAACAAUUGGAGGGCAAGUCUGGUGCCAGCAGCCGCGGUAAUUCCAGCUCCAAUAGCGUAUAUUAAAGUUGUUGCAGUUAAAAAGCUCGUAGUUGAAACUUGGGUCUGGCUGGCAGGUCCGCCUCACCGCGUGUACUUGUCCGGCCGGGCCUUCCUUCUGGAGAACCUCAUGCCCUUUACUGGGCGUGUUGGGGACCAGGACUUUUACUUUGAAAAAAUUAGAGUGUUCAAAGCAGGCCUUUGCUCGAAUACGUUAGCAUGGAAUAAUAGAAUAGGACGUGCGGUCCUAUUUUGUUGGUUUCUAGGACCGCCGUAAUGAUUAAUAGGGACAGUCGGGGGCAUCAGUAUUCAAUUGUCAGAGGUGAAAUUCUUGGAUUUAUUGAAGACUAACUACUGCGAAAGCAUUUGCCAAGGAUGUUUUCAUUAAUCAGUGAACGAAAGUUAGGGGAUCGAAGACGAUCAGAUACCGUCGUAGUCUUAACCGUAAACUAUGCCGACUAGGGAUCGGGCGAUGUUCUUUUUCUGACUCGCUCGGCACCUUACGAGAAAUCAAAGUUUUU
rnacentral:rRNA from 1 species